GACGAACGCUGGCGGCGUGCCUAAUACAUGCAAGUCGAGCGAAUCUUUUGGGAGCUUGCUCCCUUAAGAUUAGCGGCGGACGGGUGAGUAACACGUGGGUAACCUGCCUGUAAGACUGGGAUAACUUCGGGAAACCGGAGCUAAUACCGGAUACUUUCUUUUCUCGCAUGAGGGAAGAUGGAAAGAUGGUUCUGCUAUCACUUACAGAUGGACCCGCGGCGCAUUAGCUAGUUGGUGAGGUAACGGCUCACCAAGGCGACGAUGCGUAGCCGACCUGAGAGGGUGAUCGGCCACACUGGGACUGAGACACGGCCCAGACUCCUACGGGAGGCAGCAGUAGGGAAUCGUCCGCAAUGGACGAAAGUCUGACGGAGCAACGCCGCGUGAGCGAAGAAGGCCUUCGGGUCGUAAAGCUCUGUUGUUAGGGAAGAACAAGUACGAGAGUAACUGCUCGUACCUUGACGGUACCUAACCAGAAAGCCACGGCUAACUACGUGCCAGCAGCCGCGGUAACAC
rnacentral:rRNA from 1 species